GCGGAGGAAAAGAAACUAA
rnacentral:ncRNA from 3 species